rfam:Nicotiana sylvestris Nsyl_contig191438, whole genome shotgun sequence.
AUACUUACCUGGACGGGGUCAAUGGGUGGUCAUGAAUGCCCAUGGCCUAGGUUGGUGACUUCCAUUGCACUUUGGAAGGGCGCCCGCCUAAGGUCGGCCCAAGUGGCCGAGCCUACGUCAUAAUUUGUGGCAGAGGGGGCCUGCGUUCGCGCGGCCCCUAC